rnacentral:rRNA from 1 species
GGACUACUGGGGUAUCUAAUCCCGUUUGCUCCCCUGGCUUUCGCGCCUCAGCGUCAGAAGAGGCCCAGCGUGCCGCUUUCGCCACCGGCGUUCCUUCCGAUCUCUACGCAUUUCACCGCUCCACCGGAAGUUCCGCACGCCCCUGCCUCGCUCGAGCCGAGCAGUAUCCAAGGCACUUCCCCAGUUGAGCUGGGGGCUUUCACCCCGGACUGGCUCGGCCGCCUACGCGCCCUUUAAGCCCAAUGAAUCCGAACAACGUUCGCACGGUUCGUCUUACCGCGGCGGCUGGCAC